rnacentral:misc_RNA from 1 species
CAACUAAGAGCGUUAAUGGUUCUAUUUCUUCAAGAAAUUCAAAAAAUGGCUCACUUGAGGGAACUGUUAUUAUUUUUCCUAGUUUCUAUUACACUAGUAGCAGCAGCAACAAGUUUUUCCAAAGUAGAAACCGGCGAAGAAGCACGGCGAGAGGCGGACAGAGUGACCAGCUUGCCUGGACAACCGCCGGUGAGAUUUAGGCACUAUUCCGGUUAUGUUAAUCUGAGACGCAAUGAUCAGAAGGCAUUGUUCUACUGGUUUUUCGAAGCUGAAGAUGGUGUCUCACAAAAGCCUCUUGUUCUUUGGCUAAAUGGAGGACCUGGAUGCUCCUCCAUAGCCUACGGUGCAGCACAGGAACUUGGCCCUUUUCUUGUUCGCAGAGAUGGGAGUCAGCUUAUCCUUAACAAGUACUCUUGGAACAAAGUUGCAAAUAUGUUAUUUCUGGAAGCACCAGUGGGUGUGGGCUUUUCGUACACAAACAAUUCCAAAGAUUUGCAUGAGCUUGGUGAUCGAGUUACAGCAGAUGAUUCUCAUGCCUUCUUAAUAAAUUGGUUUAAAAGGUUCCCAAGUUUCAAAUCUCAUAAUUUUUAUAUAGCAGGGGAGAGCUAUGCUGGUCAUUAUGUACCCCAGCUAGCUGAGCUCAUCCAUGAUAGAAACAAAGAAGCCACCAAAGACUCUCAUAUAAACCUCAAGGGCUUCAUGAUUGGAAAUGCUGUGAUUCAUGAUGAAACGGAUUUAUCCGGCAUUGUGGACUACGCAUGGAGUCAUGCGAUCAUAUCAGACCAUCUCUAUCACAACGUAAAGGAAUGUGCUUUUAAGCAAACAGUUGAUGCUGCUGCUGCAAGCAAUUGCUCUGCCCAUUUCAAAGGAUUCAUGGAUGCCUAUUCUGGGAUCGAUAUUUAUAGCAUCUACACUCCGGUUUGCCUCACUUCUUCUCAAUCCUCUAGGAAACUCGUCUUCGGGCCUCGUCCCCUAGCAAUACAUGACCUCUGGCACAUGCUGCCAUCAGGCUACGAUCCAUGUACUGAAGGCUAUGCUGAAAAAUUUUUCAACAGAGAAGAUGUGCAGAGCGCCCUUCAUGCCAAUGUCACCAAAUUGUCCUAUCCUUACACUCCAUGCAGCCGUGUGAUUGAGAGGUGGAAUGACUCGGCGGAUACAAUAUUGCCAAGCAUUCGCAAGCUCAUGAAUGCCGGAUUGCGCAUCUGGGUCUACAGUGGGGACACAGAUGGGAGAGUGCCGGUGACAUCAACAAGGUACAGCAUCAACAAAAUGAGGUUAAAAAUAAAGGAAGAAUGGAGGGCGUGGUUUCAUAAAACUCAAGUGGCAGGUUGGGUGGAGACAUAUGAAGGUGGCCUCAUAUUGGCCACUGUGAGAGGUGCUGGCCAUCAGGUCCCUGUCAUUGCACCUCAACAGUCUCUCUCUCUCUUUUCCCAUUUCCUCUCUGGCAAGACCUUGCCCAGUUUUUAGCUCACCGGCAAUUAUUAUAUAUUCAAUGUUUUCCAGACCAAAUUAAAUAUUAUUAUUUCAAUGUAGACAUUUUGGAUUAUUGCAUGGUAGAGAUCAAUAUGAUAUCAG